rnacentral:rRNA from 1 species
ACGCUCGACACCUACGGGAAGCAGCAGUGGGGAAUAUUGCACAAUGGGGGAAACCCUGAUGCAGCGACGCCGCGUGAAGGAUGAAGUAUUUCGGUAUGUAAACUUCUAUCAGCAGGGAAGAAAAUGACGGUACCUGACUAAGAAGCCCCGGCUAACUACGUGCCCGCAGCCGCGGUAAUCUGAGCGGGCUGGCAAGGC